GACGAACGCUGGCGGCGUGCUUAACACAUGCAAGUCGAACGGAAAGGCCCUGCUUUGGUGGGGUGCUCGAGUGGCGAACGGGUGAGUAACACGUGAGUAACCUGCCCUUGACUUUGGGAUAACUUCAGGAAACUGGGUCUAAUACCGGAUAGGAGCUCCUGCUGCAUGGUGGGGGUGGGUAAGUUUCGGCGGUUGGGGAUGGACUCGCGGCUUAUCAGCUUGUUGGUGGGGUAGUGGCUUACCAAGGCUUUGACGGGUAGCCGGCCUGAGAGGGUGACCGGCCACAUUGGGACUGAGAUACGGCCCAGACUCCUACGGGAGGCAGCAGUGGGGAAUAUUGCACAAUGGGAGGAAGCCUGAUGCAGCACCGCCGCGUGCGGGAUGACGGCCUUCGGGUUGUAAACCGCUUUCGCCUGUGACGAAGCGUGAGUGACGGUAAUGGGUAAAGAAGCACCGGCUAACUACGUG
rnacentral:rRNA from 1 species